CCGGUUGAUCCUGCCGGAGGUUACUGCUAUCGGAGUUCGAGUAAGCCAUGCGAGUCUAAAGGUUUCUUCGGAAGCCUUGGCGGACUGCUCAGUAACACGUGGAUAACCUACCCUUAGGACUGGAAUAACCCCGGGAAACUGGGGAUAAUACCGGAUAGAUCAGGGAUGCUGGAAUGCACCCUGAUCCAAAGCUCCGGCGCCUAAGGAUGGGUCUGCGGCCUAUCAGGUUGUAGUGGGUGUAACGUACCUACUAGCCGACGACGGGUACGGGUUGUGAGAGCAAGAGCCCGGAGAUGGAUUCUGAGACACGAAUCCAGGCCCUACGGGGUGCAGCAGGCGCGGAACCUUUACAAUGUGCGAAAGCAUGAUAAGGGGACUCCGAGUGCCAGCAUCUAAUGCUGGCUGUCCUUGUGCCUAAAAAGCACAAGAUAGCAAGGGCCGGGUAAGACCGGUGCCAGCCGCCGCGGUAACACCGGCGGCCCGAGUGGUAGCCGCUAUUAUUGGGUCUAAAGGGUCUGUAGCCGGUUCAGUAAGUCCUUUGGGAAAUCUGGUUGCUUAACAAUCAGACUGCCAAGGGAUACUGUUGAACUUGAGACCGGGAGAGGUAAGAGGUACUUCAGGGGUAGGAGUGAAAUCUUGUGAUCCCUGGGGGACCAUCUGUG
rnacentral:rRNA from 1 species